rnacentral:rRNA from 1 species
UACGAAGGGGGCUAGCGUUGUUCGGAAUUACUGGGCGUAAAGCGCGCGUAGGCGGCUUCGUCAGUCAGGGGUGAAAUCCCGGGGCUCAACCUCGGAAUUGCCUUUGAUACUGCGAAGCUCGAGUCCGUGAGAGGAUGGUGGAAUACCCAGUGUAGAGGUGAAAUUCGUAGAUAUUGGGUGGAACACCAGUGGCGAAGGCGGCCAUCUGGCACGGUACUGACGCUGAGGUG